rnacentral:ncRNA from 1 species
AUGUUGUAUGAAAGGAAAGAAGGCUAGCACUCCCCUUGACAAGGAUGGAAGAGGCCCUCAGGCCUGACAACACACAUAUAUUAAGGUAUUGCCACCUACUUCAUGGCGUCUAAUGUCAGAAAGUC